rnacentral:rRNA from 1 species
UCGAACGAAGUCAACCAGUGGCAACACUGGGGGAAGGCUUAGUGGCGAACGGGUGAGUAACACGUGAGGAACCUGCCCCGAAGACCGGGAUAACCCUCCGAAAGGAGAGCUAAUACCGGAUGCCCUCAUGAGGUCGCAUGGCCAUAUGAGGAAAUGGAUUCCGCUUCGGGAGGGCCUCGCGGCCUAUCAGCUUGUUGGUGAGGUAACGGCUCACCAAGGCGACGACGGGUAGCUGGUCUGAGAGGACGAUCAGCCACACUGGGACUGAGACACGGCCCAGACUCCUACGGGAGGCAGCAGUGGGGAAUCUUGCGCAAUGGGCGAAAGCCUGACGCAGCAACGCCGCGUGCGGGAUGAAGGCCUUCGGGUUGUAAACCGCUUUCAGUGGGGACGAAAACAGACGGUACCCACAGAAGAAGCCCCGGCCAACUACGUGCCAGCAGCCGCGGUAACACGUAGGGGGCAAGCGUUG